ensembl:lncRNA
CUAGGAAUCUUCUCUCCCUUUUUCUUUACCAGGCAAUUCGCAAUACGUCAUAGAAUACGCUUAACACAUACUUUUUGUCUUGUUCGAACUUUGGGGGAUGUAUGCAUCUUCCAGGUGUUUCCUUUUUUGUUUCCGCUUCAUGAUUCAACUCUUUGGAGAGUGACUCAAAUCAGUUACCUUUCUCUCUGAAACUCUGCUCUCCGAAAGUCAUUGAUGAUACAGAAUCAAAUUAAUACAGUCAAGAACAACAAACCAUUUGAGAGGCUAUCUCCUCACUAAAUCACUGUCCUGACCAGUGCUCAGUACACCAUCAGGGCUAUUAUGAUGCAAGCCCUCUUUAAGGCCUCAGCAUAUACUAUGACCUAUGGAUUACAUCAGUGCACUCCAGGGACCCAGCUGGUAUUCAAGGACUGCAGGGCUGUGACAAUCCAUUGACUAGGAUGAUGCCUUUUAUCCAAUGGAAAUGAUCAUUAACUUAAAUUUUUACACCUUAUACUUGAUAUCAAAACCAGAGGACAGGUGACUUACAUUAAACAAAGGAAAUUACUUUAUGUGUCUAAGGGGCGAAAAAAAUCCUCAAGAUACAAGAUAUCCACCAAAAUGUAAACUCUAUAAAGGCUGGAUUUAUGAUCUACCUUGUUAACUGCUAUAUCUCUAGUAUCAGAAGCUGCAGAAGACAUUUGAGAAUUAUUGAACAAAGAUAUGUAUAAAUCUAUAGAUAAAUAAAGAUGAAUUAAUUCAGAUAGAAGUGUGCUGAACUUUUCUCUGGUUUAAAUUAGUUAACUUGGAUUAGCUAAAGAAACAAUACAUCUCAUAAUAGAACAUAUCUAUUCUAACACAGAAUAUUUUAGCUUUAAAACUCAUUUACAGGGGCCAGCCCAGUGGUGAUGUGGUUAAGCUUAUGCAGCCUGGGGUUCGUGGGUUUGAAUCCUGGGUAUAGACCUACACACAGAUUGGCAAGCCAUGCUGUGGCUGCAUCCCACAUGCACAGUAGAGGAAGAUUGGCACAGAUGUUAGCUCAAGGCCAAUCUUCCUCACCAAAAAUAAAAUAAACAGUUUUUUAAAACUCAUUUACAUACAUCCUUUGUUCUCACAAAAGAGUGGAUAUUAGUCAUAAUUUAUAAAGAGGAAAGGUUAAAGUCUCAGACAGUUAACCAAUCUUCUUGGUCUUGUGACUAGUGAGUAUGCAGAGUCUCUCUACUAAAUUAACAUGAAAUAAAACAAAAUUGAUUUUUCCUUGACCCAAGAGAAGCUGUAUUCUGUUUUGAACGCUGCUUUUAAUAAUACAGUGUAUAAGCUUAUUAGAGUCAUUACUUAUCAGGUUAAUCUAUCAGUGGAAAUUCUGACUUCACAAACCAGCUAUGGGAUUUUUAAUAAUGCCUAGCUUUUUAACACUGCCAAACAGCAGAUUUUGUAGAGGUCAGAGAUACUGACUAGAAUAGCACCUGCUUGAUGCCAGCUCUCAAGAGAAAGCUUAAAUAACAGACUUCACAUCCUCCUGUAACAUCCAAUCUGUAACAAGUCCCUGCUGAAGCAAAGCUGUCCAAAGAGAAGUGUGAGGUUGAGCACAAAGAAGAAAAACAGAAUGCAAAAAGAAAGCCAUGAGUUAGACUUCUCAAUUUUUGUCUACUUGGCUUUUGCUUCUGACAACUGAUGGAAGGUGGAAUAGAGGUCACAAGAUUGAGUAAGCGAGGAAAAUAUAAGAGAGGGCUAAUAUCCCAAACCUGUCCUCCAAUCUUCUCUUUUAAAUUCUGCCAUAAUUCCUUAUUGAAUGUGUAGCUUGAAAGGAAAGAUACAAGUGAGGUUAGUUCCUAUAAUGACCUGGCUUGAGUCAGAUUUAUGAAUGUAAGGCAGAGUAAUUGAAGAGCAUGGUCUUGGAAGAAAGCUCUGAGUUUGAAUCCCAAAUCUCUCACUUAGUACCUAUUGGAAGUUAGGCAAGCAAGUUGAACUUUCUAUGCAUCAAUCUCUUCAUUGUAAAAUGGUGGCAAUCCUAUGGAGUUGAAGAUUAAGUGAUAAAAGUCUUAACACACUUCCUGGGUGACUGUUAACACUCAAUAAAUAUAUAUCAAGAGUUGAUUGUAUGCUGAAUGUUUUCACACAAGAGGGGUAAAAAAAAUUACAAAACUCCUAAGUCAAAAUGUCAGGGUUUAGCGCUGAAAAUUUGGUAAAAUCAUAUUGAAUGCAUUUGAAAUAGUUAAUUUAUGUUCAGCACUUAUUCUAAAUAUUUUCACAUCCUGCUUAAUUUUAAUGACAGAAGUCAUUUUAGUCAAUUUCCUUGUUGUUCUCCUUUA